GGUGGGGAUGGGCAUGAAGUUGGCCCCAAAGGCCCGACUGAAACCCGCGAGGAAGAGAUGGCCGAGCCAUCCCGCCCUCCUCAGCCGGCCUUGACUUGACCAGGGAAGGGGUCCCUGAGGUGAGGAGGCGCAGGCCCCGAAAGAGACGGAGCCCGCCCGCCUCAGGAAAGGGAACGGAAACACCUCGGCCAGGAGGCCGCCUCAGGCCCCCGCUCGCUCUCUCCUCUCUCGCGCUGGGCAUGGUCGCCUCAGAAAGGCUCUUGUAGGGCAGGAAAAGGUUCCCCAAAGAUCGAGAGGCGCAGCCCUGACAGGAGAAGGCGGCUUCUUUUGGUGUUUCCUUUAGUGGCAAAGGCGCGCGAUGGAGGUGUACAGAGCGAGUGGGUGGGCGGGGAGCUUCCCGUCGCCGCCAGUGGAUCCUCCUCGAUCGCCCAGUGAAGGUAGAUCAUGCUGGGAGAUUUAGGGCAGGAGAAGGGAAGCGCUCUCUCGGAACUCGGGCCCUUGUGAAAGGGAAAGGGGCCGGCUUUGAGUCCCGAGGCCAGUCGCUGAGGAAAACCCUGCGAAGGGGCUGCGGGGCUCUCGGCUCCGGCCCAGAGAUCGUGCCUGGAUCGUGGCCAAGCUGUGGGAAGCAGGCCGCCUUCCAACAGGUCAUGUUCUCUUAUGGCCAGCCCCGUCGCCCGUCUCCGCCAUCCCCUGGGGCCAGCAGCCUAAGAACGAGGGGGAAGAGUGGGGGGCUUCGGGGCAGAUCCGGCAGAGGAAGCUGGCCUCCCCCCCAAGCCUCGUGGCGCUGGGCACGCGGGGACUUGCUCCCGGGGAAAAUGUGCCUCGGAUCGGGUCACAUUUAGUAGCCAAGUCGGGAGGGGGAAGGAAGAUCAAGGCCUUCCCCGUGGAGAGGGCCGCCCACCCCAAGGUCGCACCCACGACAGUCCAGAAUUUAAGCAGUCCAGACGCGAGCCAAACACGUUUGGAUCCCCAUUGAUUUCAACGGGGGAAGACGCUCAUCUGUACUCGAAAGAACCACAGAAAUGACUGAAUCAGCCAUGGAUCUCAGCUGUCCAGAGUCAGAGCUCUUACCGUGCAGAAGCUGUAGAGAGAAUCCUUCAUUUUCUCCCACUGACACUAAUGGCACUUGAAAGUACUGGAUUGUUCCCUGUCUUUGAAUGCUCCCUCUCUCCUUCCAUUCUCUUCAACCGUUUGUACUGAAAUCUGAUUAAAGGAAGUUGCCUAUAGAUGGCCAUUUGGAUUAGAAGUGGAGCACACAUCAUGAUUGUCAGAAAGAUGCAUCUCCCAGAGGUGAAUCAUCUGCAUCGUGGUGGUUUCCAACGCCUUCAUAUUCUGAGUGUGUUUUCAUAUGAAGCUACCAUGCUUUGUGUCAGACGAGUCCAUACAGUUUUGUCCCUUCUAGUUGGCAGUGGCCAUUGGCCAUGCUGCCAGGGGAGGGAAUGCAGAAAGGCCGAGGUGAGGAGGGAGGGAGGGAGAGAGCAGGCAAGGGCCCAGGAAAGCCGUGGAGGACUGGGGAGGAGAACUUAGCAGGAAGCUAAGAGAGGCUGUAGCAGGGCAGUGGAGGCUGCCAGGGAAUGAAAUAUGGGACUCAGCAGAAGGGAGCUUUCCAGAGGGAAAUGACAGACGGAGGGAAGAGUCCAAGAAGGGGAAAGAGGGGCAGGGAGGAGGAGGAGGAGGAAGAGGAAAGAGACUGGUCAGAGAGAAAAGCGACAUGCUGCAGAGGAGAGACAUCACCUUCUGAUUUCAAAAAAGCAGUCCAAACUCUGUUUGUAGGGUUUCUUCAUAAAACAUGCUCCACUCAGUUUCCACACCCCGGCAGGGUGAUAAAAGCAGGACAACCUACUUUCCUUGCCUGGACUCAUAUUAUAUCACCCAUGGGUGAGUGUGUGGGGCUCAUGUCUCAGAAUAAUUUUUGUCACCAGCAAACAAGCCUUUUCCCUUUUUUUAAAAAAAGAUUCAAAUAACCAAUUUAGUCUCAUUACUGGGAGAACUGAAUUAAAUAAGGAUUCUGUUACUCAAGCAUUCUGCACUUGUGUUUAUAUUUAAAGACAUCAUUGUCUCAAAAGAAAAUCUUCCAGCUUUCUGCUUUCUUGGGGCAUUGAGCCAGAAUUAUUUUUUUUAGACUUGAAAAUGGUGACAGACUAUUAUGCAUGUGAUUGUUAACCAUUACCCCUUUCCUGUAUUUCUUCUUCCUCACUCACAUUAAUGAGCUUUGACAUUUAGAGAGAAAUUAUUGCAUCACAUGUGUGACAAGUCACAAUAAAACUCAAAACCUAAUUGAUCUGGCAUUCCCCUGUAGUGUUCAAUUGCUUCCUGGCACCUGGGACUGAAAAAAAGAAAGAAGGAAAUGUAGAUUGCCUGCACUGUUUAAGUGAUGUGAUACAUAUGUCUGAGCUUGGAUAACCAGUCCUUUCAACUAAUUUUCUCAACGGUGUUGAAAGGCAGGUUCUGGCUAAACGGUUUCCUCUCCAGGAUAGGUGCAUAGGGGUAUA